GACGAACGCUGGCGGCGUGCUUAACACAUGCAAGUCGAACGGAAAGGCCCUGCUUUUGUGGGGUGCUCGAGUGGCGAACGGGUGAGUAACACGUGAGUAACCUGCCCUUGACUUUGGGAUAACUUCAGGAAACUGGGGCUAAUACCGGAUAGGAGCUCCUGCUGCAUGGUGGGGGUUGGAAAGUUUCGGCGGUUGGGGAUGGACUCGCGGCUUAUCAGCUUGUUGGUGGGGUAGUGGCUUACCAAGGCUUUGACGGGUAGCCGGCCUGAGAGGGUGACCGGCCACCUUGGGACUGCGAUACGGCCCAGACUCCUACGGGAGGCAGCAGUGGGGAAUAUUGCACAAUGGGCGGAAGCCUGAUGCAGCAACGCCGCGUGCGGGAUGACGGCUUUCGGGUUGUAAACCGCUUUCGCCUGUGACGAAGCGUGAGUGACGGUAAUGGGUAAAGAAGCACCGGCUAACUACGUG
rnacentral:rRNA from 1 species